rnacentral:rRNA from 1 species
AUUGCCCCAGUAACGGCGAGUGAAGCGGCAACAGCUCAAAUUUGAAAUCUGGCCCCUCGGGGUCCGAGUUGUAAUUUGUAGAGGAUGCUUUUGGUGAGGUGCCGCCCGAGUUCCCUGGAACGGGACGCCACAGAGGGUGAGAGCCCCGUCUGGCUGGCCACCGAGCCUCUGUAAAGCUCCUUCGACGAGUCGAGUAGUUUGGGAAUGCUGCUCAAAAUGGGAGGUAUAUGUCUUCUAAAGCUAAAUAUUGGCCAGAGACCGAUAGCGCACAAGUAGAGUGAUCGAAAGAUGAAAAGCACCUUGAAAAGAGGGUUAAAUAGUACGUGAAAUUGUUGAAAGGGAAGCGCUUGUGACCAGACUUGGGCGCGGCGGAUCAUCCGGGGUUCUCUCCGGUGCACUUCGCCGCGUCUGGGCCAGCAUCAGUUCGUCGCGGGGGAAAAAGGCUUCGGGAACGUGGCUCCUCCGGGAGUGUUAUAGCCCGUUGCAUAAUACCCUGCGGUGGACUGAGGACCGCGCAUCUGCAAG